rnacentral:rRNA from 1 species
UACGUAGGGUGCGAGCGUUGUCCGGAAUUAUUGGGCGUAAAGAGCUCGUAGGCGGUUUGUCGCGUCUGCCGUGAAAGUCCGGGGCUCAACUCCGGUUCUGCAGUGGGUACGGGCAGACUAGAGUGCAGUAGGGGAGACUGGAAUUCCUGGUGUAGCGGUGAAAUGCGCAGAUAUCAGGAGGAACACCGAUGGCGAAGGCAGGUCUCUGGGCUGUAACUGACGCUGAGGAGCGAAAGCAUGGGGAGCGAACAGG